rnacentral:rRNA from 1 species
CCUACGGGAGGCUGCAGUGGGGAAUAUUGCACAAUGGGGGAAACCCUGAUGCAGCGACGCCGCGUGAGUGAAGAAGUAUUUCGGUAUGUAAAGCCCUAUCAGCAGGGAAGAAAAUGACGGUACCUGAUUUAGAAGCCCCGGCUAACUACGUGCCAGCAGCCGCGGUUAUACGUAGGGGGCAAGCGUUAUCCGGAUUUACUGGGUGUAAAGGGAGCGUAGACGGCAGCACAAGUCUGGAGUGAAAUGCCGGGGCUGAAACCCGGAACUGCUUUGGAAACUGUGCAGCGAGAGUGCAGGAGAGGUAAGUGGAAUGCGUAGUGUAGCGGUGAAAUGCGUAGAUAUUAGGAGGAACACCAGUGGCGAAGGCGGCUUACUGGACUGUAACUGACGUUGAGGCUCGAAAGCGUGGGGAGCAAACAGGAUUAGAUACCCGGGUAGUC